rnacentral:rRNA from 1 species
UGUAUGAUGGUUCUGGAGACGUCAGUUUGGGAAAGUGCGCAUGAAAAUGCUCGCCGCGGAGGGUUAAAGCCCCGUCCAUCCCGGACAGGACGUUCUCGUACAGGGACGAUUCAAAAGAGUCGGGUAGCUUGAGAAUGCUGCCCUAAGAUAGGUGAUAAAUCUCAUCUAAGGCUAAAUACUGGUGGGAGACCGAUAGCGAACAAGUACCGUGAGGGAAAGUUUAAAAGCACUUUGAAAAGAGAGUGAAAAGAACCUGAAACCGUUACGUGGAAAGCGUAUUGCAGCAGAGUAAUGGGUGUGCGCUGUUCAGCCUCAAUGAGGUGCAUUCAGUGCGUUUCUCGCCAGUCGUGAGCUUCCGGGGGCUG